rnacentral:rRNA from 1 species
UACGGAGGGAGCUAGCGUCGUUCGGAAUUACUGGGCGUAAAGCGCACGUAGGCGGCUUUGUAAGUUAGGGGUGAAAGCCCGGUGCUCAACACCGGAAUUGCCUUUAAGACUGCAUCGCUUGAAUCCAGGAGAGGUGAGUGGAAUUCCGAGUGUAGAGGUGAAAUUCGUAGAUAUUCGGAAGAACACCAGUGGCGAAGGCGGCUCACUGGACUGGUAUUGACGCUGAGGUGCGAAAGCGUGGGGAGCAAACAGG